AUAACAUUGAUUUCCUUGUGAAAUAGAUCUGAUAAUUAUAAUUCUCUAACAUCAUUUAACAAUGAAACAGGUCAAGACGUUAUCUAGGAUGUUCAGUAAAAUCAGUUGAAAAUACGUAAAAAAUUAUAGGUCUUUCAUUUUCUACUUUGUUUCCAUUAAAAAGUACAGUCACUGUAAUAAAAAGACUAGUUAAUCCAAGAACGAUGAUAUCAGAAGAUCUUCAACUCUUGGCCGAAUAACAUUGAUAGCAUAAUUCAUUUCUAUGAUUUGCACCACGUGAACUUGGCCCUAUACGAUUACAUUACUUCCCUAGUUGUAGAUUAAUGAUAUGAAUUAAAUAAAUUU
rnacentral:lncRNA from 1 species